AGCUAUGCGAUAGCGUGAACGUUUUAGUUCAUGAGGAAAGUCCGAGCAUCACAGAGCAGGGUAGCUGAUAACAUCAGCCGAGGGCGACCUUAGAGCAAGUGCAGCAGAAAUAUACCGCCGUUUUUAACGGUAAGGGUGGAAAGGCGAGGUAAGAGCUCACCGGAGCAAUAGAGAUAUUGCUGCCAUGUAAACCUUAUCCGAUGCAACAUCAAUGGUAGUUUAUAAGUCAAUGGCUGCUCGUCAGACUUAUGGCUAUAGAUGGCUUGAAUUCAUUGGCGACAAUGAAUCUAGAUAGAUUAUCGCACACGACAAAACUCGGCUUAUAGGCUUGCUCU
rnacentral:RNase_P_RNA from 1 species